AGGUACUGUAAUCGACCUAGUAGUAGUAGUAUAAAUUUCGUACAAUAGACGAGGUAUAGCAGAAAUUGGCUGCAGAGUGUACAAUAUACAUUAUAUAUACACACACACACACACACACACACACACACACACACACACACACACACACACACUUUAUUUAGCGACGCUAGCCCCGAGUAAUUCUAGCAUCUAGAACAUUCUAGGUUUUGACAAUAAAAAUCAUUGCGUAGGAAGACCAUGGGGGUCACAAGACUUGCACAAACAAGGACAAUGUCGAAAUUUCGAUAUGUAAUUCAAUAUUCAGGAAUUUAAGGUCAUUAAAUCAACUCAAAGUGAAACUAAACCCAGACUCUUUAUCUUGAGCGAUUUUGUUUGCUCUUUCAAACGACAUAUUCCUGUCCAUUUCGUCGAUCAAAUCAAGCACAGUGUUUGAAAUUAAUUCUAGCGAUGUGAAUAAACUGGAAUAUAAAGUCUAAAUCCUGAAGGAAUAAAAGCCAAGGUGAGAAUCGAAUUAAAUAAUCAUAAGGAAGCUAAAAUAGGCAUAUCAAAACAACGCCACGUCAACGUUGGCUAUACUAUUUGAUACAAUGAAUUUCCCCAUAGG
rnacentral:lncRNA from 1 species